rnacentral:rRNA from 1 species
UACGAAGGGGGGCUAGCGUUGCUCGGAAUUACUGGGCGUAAAGCGCACGUAGGCGGCUUUCUAAGUCGGAGGUGAAAUCCUGGAGCUCAACUCCAGAACUGCCUUCGAUACUGGAGAGCUUCGAGUCCGGGAGAGGUGAGUGGAACUGCGAGUGUAGAGGUGAAAUUCGUAGAUAUUCGCAAGAACACCAGUGGCGAAGGCGGCUCACUGGCCCGGUACUGACGCUGAGGUGCGAAAGCGUGGGGAGCAAACAGG